UACUCUUUAGUUCAACAGGUUAGAAUCGUAAUUUUAUUACGGGAUGUGAGUUCGAGUCCCACAAGAGUAAC
rnacentral:tRNA from 1 species